GAAGCCGGCGUACCGGCCGGUACGGGCAGACUGAGACUCAGCCAGGUUAUCGUCGGUUUGAUUCCGGCCGGCGUUC
rnacentral:tRNA from 1 species